rnacentral:SRP_RNA from 1 species
GCCGGGCGCUGUGGCGCGUGCCUGCAGUCCCAGCUACUCGGGAGGCUGAGGCUGGAGGAUCUCUUGAGCUCAGGAGUUCUGGGCUGUAGUGCGCUAUGCCGAUCAGGUGUCUGCACUGAGUUCAGCAUCAAUAUGGUGACCUCCCCGAAGUGGGGGACCAUCAGGUUGCCUAAGGAGGGGUGAAUUGGCCCAGGUCAGAAACAGAGCAGGUCAAAACUCCCGUGCUGAUCAGUAGUGGGAUCACGCCUGUGAAUAGCCACUGCACUCCAGCCUGGGUAACAUAGCAAGACCUGGUCUCU